CGUUUAAAACACAUUUAUGGUAUAAAGGUGAUAAUCUCAAAGAAAAACAGUAAAAAUGUUCUUUGUUUUGUAAAUGUGUUCCUUUCAUUUAAAUGACCACAAUUAUUUACAUACACAAUAAACAUCCUCAUAACAGGAAAGUGAAAAAAGGACGUUCUUAUUUUAUUUAUACCCUUAAAUAAAUCUUUUAGGGAGAGAAAAGAGACAAUUCUGAAGUCCUUUACGCCUGUUACUACAACACAACACAAAUCAAAACAACACAAACCAACACAAAACAACACAAACCAACAGAACACAAACCAACACAAACCAACACAACACAUUAAAAUCCUUUAAUUUAGAUUUUUGAUUUAGAUCCGUAACAUUUUCACAAAUCCUAAUAUUUUAAAUUGAUGCUUUUAUUUUGGUGUUCCAGCGGCGGUACUUCCGUCAGCAGCUUGGCGGUUUUUCAGGGAGGGACGUCGCUUGUCAAAUCAGAGGGAGAGGAGGAAGACUGCGCGUGCGGGACGAGCAGCGAGGACGCGGGAACGUCUUCGUGGCUGCCGCAUUAUCCACCUGCAGGACAAACGUCCACCUGCUGACCCCGCCCAGGGGAGGAGCCAGGAGGCGCGAGGAGAAGGAGAUCUCUGUCAUCCACCUGCCGACCUGGGUCCAGUUAUGUCUCGUCUACCCUGGCGCUCCAGUUCACCUCAGAUCUUCAUUCUCCAUCUCAAGUCUGCAACUCCAUUCAAGUCCCGGCUGCAGCUCCACAAUCGCCACGGACAAUAAAAACUUUCUAACUA